UGCAGUCGAACGGUGAAGGCGGGAGCUUGCUCCUGCCGGAUCAGUGGCGAACGGGUGAGUAACACGUGAGUAACCUGCCCUUGACUCUGGGAUAAGCGUUGGAAACGACGUCUAAUACCGGAUACGAGCUUCAGCCGCAUGGCUAGGAGCUGGAAAGAACUUCGGUCAAGGAUGGACUCGCGGCCUAUCAGCUAGUUGGUGAGGUAAUGGCUCACCAAGGCGACGACGGGUAGCCGGCCUGAGAGGGUGACCGGCCACACUGGGACUGAGACACGGCCCAGACUCCUACGGGAGGCAGCAGUGGGGAAUAUUGCACAAUGGGCGCAAGCCUGAUGCAGCAACGCCGCGUGAGGGACGACGGCCUUCGGGUUGUAAACCUCUUUUAGCAGGGAAGAAGCGAAAGUGACGGUACCUGCAGAAAAAGCACCGGCUAACUACGUGCCAGCAGCCGCGGUAAUACGUAGGGUGCAAGCGUUGUCCGGAAUUAUUGGGCGUAAAGAGCUCGUAGGCGGUUUGUCGCGGCUGCUGUGAAAACGCGAGGCUC
rnacentral:rRNA from 1 species